GAACGAGAAAGUGGGGCAAUCCAUGAGUAAAGUGGCGUACGGGUGAGUAACACGUGGAUCAUCUGCCCUUUAGUGGGGAAUACCGCUGGGAAACCGGCGACAAUACCGCAUAAGCUCGAGAGAGGAAAGCAGCAAUGCGCUGAAGGAGGAGUCCGCGGCCGAUUAGCUAGUUGGUAGGGUAAUGGCCUACCAAGGCUGUGAUCGGUAGCCGGCCUGAGAGGGCACACGGCCACACUGGCACUGAAACACGGGCCAGACUCCUACGGGAGGCAGCAGUGGGGAAUCUUGCACAAUGGGGGAAACCCUGAUGCAGCGACGCCGCGUGAGCGAUGAAGCCCUUCGGGGUGUAAAGCUCUUUCGGCAGGGAAGAUUAUGACGGCACCUGUAGAAGCAGCUGCGGCUAACUACGUGCCAGCAGCCGCGGUAAUACGUAGGCAGCAAGCGUUGUUCGGAGUUACUGGGCGUAAAGGGUGCGUAGGCGGUUCUAUAAGUA
rnacentral:rRNA from 1 species